UACGAAGGGGGCUAGCGUUGUUCGGAUUUACUGGGCGUAAAGCGCACGUAGGCGGAUCGAUCAGUCAGGGGUGAAAUCCCAGAGCUCAACUCUGGAACUGCCUUUGAUACUGUCGAUCUGGAGUAUGGAAGAGGUGAGUGGAAUUCCGAGUGUAGAGGUGAAAUUCGUAGAUAUUCGGAGGAACACCAGUGGCGAAGGCGGCGCACUGGUCCAUUACUGACGCUGAGGUGCGAAAGCGUGGGGAGCAAACAGG
rnacentral:rRNA from 1 species